rnacentral:lncRNA from 1 species
AUUUUAUUAAACAUAUCAAAAUCUUCCCAACAUAGCCUAAAAGAAUAUGGUGCUUUCGUUUGGGGAAGUCUGUCUUAAAGAUAUUAUUUGAUUCCAUCUAUGACCUUAAAGAAAAGCUGAGUGUCAAAAUGAGGUAAAUAUCUUGAUUUUUGAAAACUACUCAAAUAUUUUUAGGGGAACGUGGCUGGCUGUUGUCAUUCUAAAUUAUUCCAGUUUUUCCUUUCUUUGUGAUGUGGACAGAGCAUAUGUGCCUUCCCCCCAGCCACCGAAAAAAAGGCUCACGCUUUAUUUUACGUCCAACCAAUUUUAAUAGAAAGUGACAGCCCUAGAAAUAAUUAGGGCCACUAUCAUGCAUGAAAUAAAUCAAUAUAAACUCAGGUGGGUGACUAACCCAGUCUAGAACCAGGGAGCAGAAUUAGUCCUACUGUCUGACCCUCAUAGUUUCUGCACAUACGAAAUCUCCACUGACCCUGAAAUGAUAGGAAGAGCAGUACUGCCCACUCGAUUGCUUCAGAAAGGUAUCUCAACGAAGGCGAGAACUGCUCUCAGCCUGUCAGAGACCCUGUUCCUCUUUGACUACGCUCUCGGUUUAUGAUGGGGCACACGUGUGAUGGAGAAAGAGACUGCCCAACCUGUCUAAGGCCAAUGCACCCAGAUUUCACAAGAUCCCUGAGGCACCCCUGCACGGCUACUCGCUUCAAGAACAUGCAUGCUAUUUUAAUCCUGCCAGAAAAUUUUAAAAAGGCCAAAUAUCUUUGAAUAAAAAGACCAUUUUGGUAAGGACUCAAUUAUGUUCUUUGACAUGAGCCUUUGAUUUCCCCAGUUUUUACUCAGGCAAAGAGAAUAAAGUGUUCUGUUCUUUUAAUUAUCUUAAUGUUGGGCGGGUUCUCUCUCUUCUGAUAUUAGUUCCACAGAUGACUCAGGUUUUCCUCACCAACUGCCACAUCUCCUAGCUGACUGACUUUCUACUUUUUUGGAUUUCUGCUGUCACCUGCUUUUAAUAAAACUCUAAGAUUCAUGAGAGCAGUAAUUUAAUGGCUACCAGGCAAUUUCUAUGACUGAGCACAAAGCCUGGCAUUUAAUGGGUAAUCAAUAAGGAGUGGUAGAGUCAAAUGGAAUUCUGGCGCUCCUUUUUACUACCUGGUGGUCUCUGGUUAAUGUCAAUG